rnacentral:misc_RNA from 1 species
GAUGAAGAACGUAGCGAAAUGCGAUACGUAAUGUGAAUUGCAGAAUUCAGUGAAUCAUCGAAUCUUUGAACGCACAUUGCGCCUGCCAGCACUCUGGCAGGCAUGCCUGUUCGAGCGUCAUUUCAACCAUCAAGCCCUAGGCUUGCGUUGGAGCCCUGCGGCUGCCGCAGGCCCCUAAAAGCAGUGGCGGGCUCGCUAUCACACCGAGUGCAGUAGAUUACUCUUCGCUCAGGGCGUGUGGCGGGUUCCAGCCGUGAAACCCCCUACUUCUCAAGGUUGACCUCGGAUCAGGUAGGAAUACCCGCUGAACUUAAGCAUAUCAACAAGCGGAGGA